CCUACGGGAGGCAGCAGUGGGGAAUAUUGCACAAUGGGGGGAACCCUGAUGCAGCGACGCCGCGUGAGUGAAGAAGUAUUUCGGUAUGUAAAGCUCUAUCAGCAGGGAAGAAAAUGACGGUACCUGACUAAGAAGCCCCGGCUAACUACGUGCCAGCAGCCGCGGUAAUACGUAGGGGGCAAGCGUUAUCCGGAUUUACUGGGUGUAAAGUGAGCGUAGACGGUUAUGCAAGUCUGAAGUGAAAGCCCAAUGCUCAACCAUGGGACUGCUUUGGAAACUGUAAAAGUGGAGUGCAGGAGAGGUAAGCGGAAUUCCUAGUGUAGGAGUGAAAUGCGUAGAUAUUAGGAGGAACACCAGUGGCGAAGGCGGCUUACUGGACUGUAACUGACGUUGAGGCUCGAAGGCGUGGGGAGCAAACAGGAUUAGAUACCCGGGUAGUC
rnacentral:rRNA from 1 species